rnacentral:lncRNA from 1 species
GAGGCAGGGCUGGGGCCACCAGAAUCUUACAUCUCUGGCUUGGGUUUCAGCUCCCAGCCACUCUCUUUUACAGAGCCCACAAAGCGUGGACGGCCACCCAGCCUUCCCAGUUUACAUGAUCAUGGGGAGAGCCUGUCAAAAGCAACUGCACAGAGCCUGUGCUUAAGAUGGCAGGAUCGCAAGACAGAGCAACUGGAGCAAGUCCUCAUUAAGAAGAGCCGCCCGAUGCAUUUGGACUGCGAUGUGUUACGCCCAUGAGAUUUCAGGGUUAAUUUGUUACCUGGCCGUGGCCUAUCCUCUUCCAGCAGAUACAGAGGCUACUGCAGUUUGCAACUUUGCAGAUACCAGCAGAGGAAGAAAAACCUGGGAGACUGCUGCUAACCUAAUGUGGAGACUUGACUUAAACUUCAGCCAGACAAAGGCGGAAUCUUAAUAUGGAGGGGCCUGGCUCUGCAGGGAGGUCACCUGGGCUGGCUGGAUUUCAAUCCAGUUACACAGCAAAAAAGUUACAACCCAAGC